rnacentral:rRNA from 1 species
UGUACGGCUCCGUAACACGUAGUUAAUCUGCCCUCGGGACAAGAAUAACCCUGGGAAACUGGGGCUAAUUCUCGAUAGGCGCAGUGGCCUGGAAUGGUACUGCACCCAAAAGACUUUAGGAACAUGCUCUUAGAGUCGCCCAAGGAUGGGACUGCGGCCGAUCAGGUUGUUGGUGGGGUAACGGCCUACCAAGCCUAUAACCGGUACGGGCCCUGAGAGGGGGAGCCCGGAGAUGGGAACUGAGACAAGGUCCCAGGUCCUACGGGGCGCAGCAGGCGCGAAAACUCCACAAUGUGCGAAAGCAUGAUGGGGUUAACCCGAGUGCCGUCCGAUGAGGAUGGCUUUUCUUCAGUUUAAGGAUCUGGAGGAAUAAAGGGGGGGCAAGACUGGUGUCAGCCGCCGCGGUAAUACCAGCCCCCUGAGUGGUAGGGACGAUUAUUUGGCCUAAAGCGUCCGUAGCCUGUUUGGAAAGUCUUUCGUCAAACCCGACGAUUCCAUCGUCGGCCCGCGGAAGAUACUGCCAGACUUGAGGACGGGAGAGGUCGACGGUAGUCCCAGGGUAGGGGUGAAAUCCUAUAAUCCUGGGAGGACCACCAGUGGCGAAGGCGGUCGACUAGAACGUGCCUGACGGUGAUGGACGAAAGCUGGGGGAGCGAACC